CUCUGGAGCUGCUCUUUCCCCGGCUUGCUCCUGCACACCUGCAGCUCAUCUCUGUUAUCAGUAUGGGGAACUGUGACAGUGAUUCUCUGACAGACUGUUGUCUCCACUUUAGCGAAUUCCUACCUCCUCCUAAACCUACCUGUUGCUCUGCUCUGGAGCAAAACAGCCACAGCACCAGCACUGUCACUGCACUGUAAAUGUUUGACACUCUCCUCAGAAGCAAAGACGUGGAACGCAUCUGCCUGUCCACUCUCCACGGAGUCACCUUUUCUCUGUCUCUGAGCUUCGGCAUCUCUAUCUCUCAAUUCAACAUUCUGCCUGGACAAAGCAGCUCAAAAUAGAAGUCAUGCUGCAGGUGAAGGACAGUAUGUUGGAGAAAACCUGCAAACAAGACAACACUCAACACGAAACUCACAGUUGGACUGAAGUCUGUCUUGCAAUUUCACAGCAGUCUAAACUGCUAUGCUACUACUCUGCUGUAAAUGUUGAGUAAAUCCAACUUUUUUUUUUAACAACAGAUACACAUUUAGGUAAAAAGCUACUCUGAUGGACAGCUAUCUGUAGGCAGCUUAAGAUAAAAGUGAACCUAGUGUUCAACCAUUGUAAUGUGUGUAAAUUAUUUAGUAGUAUAAGCCUUUAUGAAAACAUGGUACAAUGUAUAAUUAAUGUAGAUUCUUAUGAAUAUGCUUUUCAUGUAAAAAUUGCAGACAUGUCUUGAAU